rnacentral:lncRNA from 1 species
GUAGCUAUAUUUAUUUCAAUGUGUAAUGUGUUUUAAAAAAUACAAUAUCUAGUUUUACAUUACUGUCAUUUGGAAUAUUUAUUCAAGUAACUGAAUUCUUACUCGGUGAUAAUCUGAAACUUCCUUAUCUGUAAUAUUUUUCCAUAAUGUUUUUCUCGUAGCUCUUAAAAGGCUAACUUUUUAGUCCCUGCCAUUGUUCCCCCAAUACAAAAACAUCAGAUGAACACAGAAGCAAAUAUCUCUUUAUUAGAAUAUUUUGUGUUGUUCUUCUGAACAUGUAGAGCAUGCCCUAUAUCACAAAUGAGCAUCUGCACUUCUCUGACAGUGACCACAAAAGGUGACCUUAACAGAAGAUUUUCCUGGAUGGUACUUCAUGCUCACACUUCUGUUUUCACAGUAUGCCAUUAUGUUGUGGAAGGUUACAGGGAAGCUUUUCAAGGACUCUGUUGUCAUCUUGUACACUUACAUAUCUUUUCAUUCUGGGCUCAUGCAGUCUGCACAGAGCAACUAUCUGCAGUUGCCAUCUACUAGUUAAAAAAUAUGUUGACAAUGUUAGGGAAAUUAGAACAGAAGUUCAACUACAUCAUUUCACAAAGCUAAGAACAGCAAAUGCAGGUUAGAUAACUUUGCUUGGUUAAAAAUCUAUGGUUGUCUGGAAAUCCUGAGAAAGUUUAACACCCUCAGUUAUUGCACUGUUGAGAUAAUAUUAGGUUUCUGACCAGUGUCUAGCAGUGGUAGUAUCUUAUUUACAGGGGCAUGUGCUGUAGAAAUUGAACAAUUUCAGAGUCCCCAGUCCUAUAUUUUUAGUGGAGGGUUGUUAGAGUUAAGGUAGUAUGGUUCGGUAGAAGUUGGACUUGGUGAUCUUUAAGGUCUUUUCCAACCUGAGUGAUUCUAUGAUUCUAUGCUGUGAUUCCCUAUGCUUCUUCAUAUUCUUUUUUUUUUUUUUUUUAAUUGUUUUCUUGAAAUAGCAUUCUUAGUUUUUCCUGGAUUCUAAUAAUUUGUUCCCUUCUUUCCUGUUUUUCCUUUGCUGGCAGGGCUUUGCAUUUCUUGUUUUCCUUUCCAUAUUCAAUCACAAUUGUGGGCACCACAAUAUAAGAAGAAUAUCAGAAUGUUAUAGUACAUCUAAAGGACAGCUACAAAAUUGGCGAAAGGUUCAGAGGCAAGAUGUAUGAGAAGCAGCUGAGAUCCCUGAGUUUGCUCAGCCCAGAGCAGAGGAGCUGAGGGGCAGCUCCUCACAGGGAGUGGAGGAGCAGCACUGAGCUCUGCUCUAUGUGACAGCGACAGGGCCAUAGGGAACGGCAUGGAGCUGUGUCAGGGGAGGGUCUGGUUGGAGGUUAGGGAGAAGUUCUACUCCAGAGGGUGUUUGGACACUGGAAUGGGAUACACAAGGCAGUAGU